CGUAAAGACGCAUGCAGGUGGUUUGGUUUAAGUUCAGAUGUGAAAGACCCGGGGCCGUCAACCUCCGGAAUAGCAUUUGAAACUAGGCAGACUAGAGUACUGUAGAGGGGGGUAGGGAAGUUUCAGGUGUAGCGGUGAAAUAGCGUAGAGAUCUGAAGGAAUACCGGUGGCGAAGGCGGCCCCCCUCGGACAGAUACUGACACUCAGAUGCGAAAGCGUGGGGAGCAAACAGGAUUAGAUACCCCUGGUAG
rnacentral:rRNA from 1 species